rnacentral:lncRNA from 1 species
CCCUGACUCCCUGCGGGGCCGGAGCCCCAGCGGCACCUCUGCCCGGAAUGGGGCUAAGGCUGGCCGGCGAUGGACGUCUCUUUUCUUUUGGUUUUUGAGUUUUGGGUUCCCUUUGUGAUUUGGCUGUGAUUGUUCAGGCGGCUGAGAGCUGAGCCGCAGCGGGUCUGGCUCCAUGUCCAGGGCCGGAGGGCUCGUGCACGCGCCCAGCUCGGAGGGCAGGAUGAGGCGCUGUGCCCAUGGCCGAGACCCUGCGGAGCCCGUGAUCUCAGUGGAGAAGCUUUCUUAAGCCGCGAGGGAUUUGCUUUUCUGCCUUCGUUGAUUUUCCUUUGGAAACAACUGGUGCUAGUCCCACCCUUUUCCCCUCGCACCCCCGCCCCUCCCCUCGUACUCAGAAGGAACCGCCACAUAUCCUGUCUUUUUCAGCCCCGGGGACGGGGACGGGGACGCAAUGGCUCUCUCCUUCUUGCACUUUGGAAGGCGACGUCCCAGAGUUGGGCUCUUUCCAGAAUAGGUCAUUUCGCUGGCAGCAGAACAUGGGUGAAGCUUCCUCACGACUACCGGCCCCCACCUCCCCCAAAGUGGGUUUCUCCGGAGGGAUUCUCUGAAGCCGAUUUCUGCUCGCCCCUCCUCUGUCCCACCAUUGAGGCUGCUGACUCGGGCCUGGUCCUGUUUUGGAUGGCUCCCCUGCAAGCGGGAAAUGCGGCUACCCACCCUCUGCCCCGUCGUGGGCCCAGCAGCCACCGACCGAGCCUUUGCCCUGUGCAGACGGGAGGUUCUCACGGUCCUCUUGGGACCCUUCGCGUCAGCAUUUCAGCCUUGGGAGCGCCCCACCCCCAUCUGAGGGAACCCGGUCCAGGCUGCCGACCCUCGGCACCUCUGUCCCCGUUGCAGAUCUCUCGCCCCAUCAGCAGGGUGUUGUGCACCUUGAGAAGCCCCCCCAGUGCUUAUGGUGCCGGCCACCGGGCUUGAGCUCUGCUCUGAGGGCCACCAACCCAGAACCUCGCAGGAAGGUCUCCACUCCUUUGGAAAAGACUGUGUUUAUUUUCACAGUCGACCCAAGGCCGACGACGUGAUGGGGCCGGCGGGCCGGCCGGCCGGCGGGCAGGCGGGCUCAUGUUCAGCACCCCUCCCCUCAGCUGCAACGUCAACAGAAACUGUCAGGCUCCUGGCCUAUGGGCUCUGGCCGGCAUGCUCCGCCCCAUCCCCAGGCCCCUCCCCGCUCGGUUUCGGGCUGACUCACACAGCACAGCGACUUGGGGGCAAGGCCCAGCAGGAAAUUUAAAUCGUUCCUGUGUACGAUUUACUGCUAGGAGUACGACUUCUGCAGAUUUGAGGGAGCAGACUUCCUUCAGUCCCACGUGAUCACAUCUUGCUUGAGCUUGAGCUUCUUUUGCACUUUCCUGAAGUCCUCAGUCUCUGCAUUAGAGUUCUGCACUUUCUCAACCAGUUCAACUUUCUCAUCUGAAAGUUGGUCAGGAGCCUGUCUGCUAGAGUCAGUUUCAAAGUCCUUUCCGUGACCCUCUAUGAAGAUGAAAGAGACUUGCAGAAACAGAGUCAAACCAAACUGUCUGUAAAUGACAAGGAUUUCAAAAUGGCAAUGGACAAAGAAAUUUGGUUAUUUUUAUGACCUAGAACACAUCCAGAUAACAAUUAGAGUGAUGAGUGCUAACCAGGAUAAAUCAGCAUUUUAGGAAUGCUAUCUGAUUUUUAAAACCCUUAUAGAAACAUUUACCCACAGCAUAGCCUAGAUCCCUAGGAAACCAUGCUUAGCUAUGCAUGGAAACAUGGUGACCAUGAAAGUUUUUCAGGCAAGUGUAGAAAAUCAAACGGGUGUAUGAAACAUCUUAGCCACUUGGUGUGAUUCAAUUCGUGAUCAAAACAAUACUGGAAAUUUAUUUUGAUAAGGCAUCAAAAUCUUUCCUAAUCUCUUUCCCCAGAAAAGAAGAAAAGUUUAAGCAAAUGAUCCUUUUAAGAGAGGGCAAAAACCAAAAUCUAAUUUGGCAACAGCUUCCCUUCGAUAUGAAAGUUCAUUGACUUCGUUCAGUUCGUUUCCAUAGUAGCCAAUUUGAUCAUGCACAAAACUCUUUUCUUUGAGUUUUUUUCCCUCAUACAUUCUAGAACCUUCUUUUUACAUUAAGAAUUUGUCCUAGGGCUGCUUUCCUUUUUUAGGACCCAUUUAUCUUUCUUAACAAAACCAACAAAGACAUUUCCAUUCUUUAAAUUUUCUUGCCUGAAAACAUUCAUCCUGCUUUCCUUAGCGCACAAAGAUGUCUUCCUUCUCAAUUUUGAGUAGCUUUAAUCACAUCUCUUCCUUAGAAGUCUCAGCCUUUACAGACCUUGUUUUCAGUAGAAUCUAAGAAGGAAGCAAUUAUAAACUGUCCUUUCCAUUAGCAUUCUGUGGCUUUACAAAUUUAUAAAUAUAUUUAUAAUUUCCAGAAUCAUACUACUUCCUAGUACACUCUUAUGAUAAAAAUGUAAGACAUCUUUACUAAUAGACCCAAAGAUCUUUUGGUUUCUCUGUCAAAAUAAGCCUGAAGUAGAUAAACCUCUGUCUAAUAACUACUGUCUAAUAUUUUAUCUUAUUUGGAAAUGAUCUAGAGACUCAAUAAAUUUCUAUCAUUCAACUGAAUUUAAUAAAAC